rnacentral:rRNA from 1 species
UACGUAGGUGGCGAGCGUUGUCCGGAAUUACUGGGUGUAAAGGGCGUGUAGGCGGGGCGGCAAGUCAGAUGUGAAAUACCUCGGCUUAACUGGGGUGCUGCAACUGAAACUGUCGUUCUUGAGUGUCGGAGAGGAAAGUGGAAUUCCCAGUGUAGCGGUGAAAUGCGUAGAGAUUGGGAGGAACACCAGUGGCGAAGGCGGCUUUCUGGACGAUAACUGACGCUGAGGCGCGAAAGCGUGGGUAGCAAACAGGAUUAGAUACCCUGGUAGUCCACGCCGUAAACGAUGGAUACUAGGUGUAGGAGGUAUCGACCCCUUCUGUGCCGGAGUUAACACAAUAAGUAUCCCACCUGGGGAGUACGGCCGCAAGGUUGAAACUCAAAGGAAUUGACGGGGGCCCGCACAAGCAGUGGAGUAUGUGGUUUAAUUCGAAGCAACGCGAAGAACCUUACCAGGGCUUGACAUCCCUCUGACAGGUAUAGAGAUAUACCCUCCCUUCGGGGCAGAGGAGACAGGUGGUGCAUGGUU